GAUGAACGCUAGCGGCAGGCUUAAUACAUGCAAGUCGAGGGGCAGCACGGGUAGCAAUACCUGGUGGCGACCGGCAAACGGGUGCGGAACACGUACGCAACCUUCCCAAAACUGGUGAAUAGCCCUCCGAAAGGAGGAUUAAUACACCGUAAGAUGAUGGAGUGGCAUCACUCUAUUAUUAUAGCUCCGGCGGUUUUGGAUGGGCGUGCGCCUGAUUAGGUAGUUGGCGGGGUAACGGCCCACCAAGCCUGCGAUCAGUAACUGGUGUGAGAGCACGACCAGUCACACGGGCACUGAGACACGGGCCCGACUCCUACGGGAGGCAGCAGUAAGGAAUAUUGGUCAAUGGACGCAAGUCUGAACCAGCCAUGCCGCGUGAAGGAU
rnacentral:rRNA from 1 species